UGUAUGUCUUGAGUACAAUUGAGGUAGGCGGAAUGUGUAGUGUAGCGGUGAAAUGCUUAGAUAUUACACAGAACACCGAUUGCGAAGGCAGCUUACUAAAUUGUUACUGACGCUGAGGCACGAAAGCGUGGGGAUCAAACAGGAUUAGAUACCCUGGUAGUCCACGCCGUAAACGAUGAUCACUGGUUGUUAGCGAUACACUGUCAGCGACUGAGCGAAAGCAUUAAGUGAUCCACCUGGGGAGCACGUCGGCAACGAUGAAACUCAAAGGAAUUGACGGGGGCCCGCACAAGCGGAGGAACAUGUGGUUUAAUUCGAUGAUACGCGAGGAACCUUACCUGGGCUCGAACGUGAGAGGAAUUACGUGGAAACAUGUAAGUCAGCAAUGACCUUUUACGAGGUGCUGCAUGGUUGUCGUCAGCUCGUGCCGUGAGGUGUCGGCUUAAGUGCCAUAACGAGCGCAACCCCUAUUGUUAGUUGCCAGCGGGUUAAGCCGGGGACUCUAACAAAACUGCCAGCGUAAGCUGUGAGGAAGGCGGGGAUGACGUCAAAUCAGCACGGCCCUUACGUCCAGGGCUACACACGUGUUACAAUGGCCGGUACAGAGGGCAGCUACUCCGUGAGGAGAUGCUAAUCUCGAAAGCCGGUCUCAGUUCGGAUUGGAGUCUGCAACUCGACUCCAUGAAGUUGGAUUCGCUAGUAAUCGCGCAUUAGCCAUGGCGCGGUGAAUACGUUCCCGGGCCUUGUACACACCGCCCGU
rnacentral:rRNA from 1 species